AGCAGCCGCGGUAAUUCCAGCUCCAAUAGCGUAUAUUAAAGUUGUUGCAGUUAAAAAGCUCGUAGUUGAAUUUCGGGAUCAAUACGUCGGUCGUGCUUCGGUACGUACUGGCGUAAUUGAUCUCUCCCUUCUGACGAACCAUGAUGUCAUUAACUUGGUGUCAUGGGAAAUCAGGACUGUUACUUUGAAAAAUUAGAGUGUUUAAAGCAGGCUCACGCUUGAAUACAUUAGCAUGGAAUAAUGAAAUAGGACGUUCGAUCCUAUUUUGUUGGUUUUUAGGAUCAACGUAAUGAUUAAUAGGGAUAGUUGGGGCAUUAGUAUUCAAUUGUCAGAGGUGAAAUUCUUGGAUUUAUUGAAGACUAACUACUGCGAAAGCAUUUGCCAAGGAUGUUUUCAUUAAUCAAGAACGAAAGUUAGGGGAUCGAAGACGAUCAGAUACCGUCGUAGUCUUAACCACAAACUAUGCCGACUAGGGAUCGGAUGAUGUUAAUUUUUAAUGA
rnacentral:misc_RNA from 1 species